rnacentral:rRNA from 1 species
CAAUAGCGUAUAUUUAAGUUGUUGCAGUUAAAAAGCUCGUAGUUGGAUUUCGGGUGGGCUGCGCCGGUCUCCUUUUGGUUGUACUGGCGACGCCUGCCUUGCUGCCGGGGACGGUCUCGCUGCCUUUACUGUCGGCGAACCGGAAUCGGCGACGUUACUUUGAGUAAAUUAGAGUGUUCAAAGCAAGCCUACGCUCUGAAUAUAAUAGCAUGGGAUAACACGACAGGACUCUGGCCUAUCGUGUUGGUCUGUAGGACCAGAGUAAUGAUUAAGAGGGACAGUCGGGGGCAUUCGUAUUCCGUUGUCAGAGGUGAAAUUCUUGGAUUUACGGAAGACGAACAUCUGCGAAAGCAUUUGCCAAGGAUGUUUUCAUUGAUCAAGAACGAAAGUUGGGGGCUCGAAGACGAUCAGAUACCAU